UAUACAUUGGCAAAUAAAAGUAAAGAUUAAAAAUAAUACAAAAGGAAAUUACAUAAUAAAGGGUAGCAAGAGUUUGAGAAUUUCGAGUAUUGGACAAGAAAUAAAGUUAAAGGUUACUGCAACGACAAGGAUAAGGAAAUCUAGAAGUGUUCCUGCAAAAUAGUAUUAUAAGCUUGGAGAACCUUGAGACGGGUUUCUAUCUGGAGCAGGACCAGAGUUAACUAUUUCCGGAAACCUUACUCUUCCUGGGAAGAAUCUCAAAAAGGGUUCUCCAAAAAUUUAAAUCCUCUCCUAAAACAACAGGUAACCAUACUCAAUUAAGAAAAAUAAUAGCCAGAAAGAAAAAGAGUACAAUCCGUUCAAUACUCGACGCUACGUAUUCAAUUGUGAAAUUUCAAUUAUUGCACUUGAUUUUUAGUAUAUUUAACUAUAGAACAGAAGAUAUAUAUCAGAAUUUAGGGUUAAGAUUACUCCGUAUCAUUUAUUAGUUUUAAGUUUAAUUUAUUUAUAAGAUAUAUUCAUAUGUGUUUGUGAUUAGCGUGCCUCGCAAGAAGAAAAAAAAAAUCGUCAGGUUGUAGGAAUAUCCAUCCCCAAAACAAAACGAAGUAUAUAUUCGAACUUUAGUUUUUUUUUUAUUUAAUUGUAUUUUCCCUCCCGAAAUAAAGAGCUCUUUAGAACAGGAUCAGGAAGAUUAGAUAUAGUGAACCAUAUCGAUGGUCUGGCAAUAUUGUGCAAAAAAAUAAAUAAACGUUUUAUUUUGGAAAAGGGUCUUUUCCUGUGGCAUGUAGAAACGCCUGAUAUCAUCUAUUGUGAAUAUCGCUAAGAAUUAGUGUAAUAAUACGUUAUUUUGUUAGAUUUGUGUAUAAAUAUAUGUAAUUUUUCUUUAUUGUUGAAGUUUAAUUCUUUUAUUCUAUUAUUAUAAGCCCAAUUUUUAAGGUAGAUAAACAUCUUAGGAAACCUAUAAUAGAUAAAAUAAAUGAAAUUAUGUUCGUUAAAUGAUUUGAAUUAAAAAAAAAAAAAAAA